rnacentral:rRNA from 1 species
GACGAACGCUGGCGGCGUGCUUAACACAUGCAAGUCGAACGGAAAGGCCCUGCUUUUGUGGGGUGCUCGAGUGGCGAACGGGUGAGUAACACGUGAGUAACCUGCCCUUGACUUUGGGAUAACUUCAGGAAACUGGGGCUAAUACCGGAUAGGAGCUCCUGCUGCAUGGUGGGGGUUGGAAAGUUUCGGCGGUUGGGGAUGGACUCGCGGCUUAUCAGCUUGUUGGUGGGGUAGUGGCUUACCAAGGCUUUGACGGGUAGCCGGCCUGGGAGGGUGACCGGCCACAUUGGGACUGAGAUACGGCCCCGACUCCUACGGGAGGCAGCAGUGGGGAAUCUUGCACAAUGGGCGGAAGCCUGAUGCAGCAACGCCGCGUGCGGGAUGACGGCCUUCGGGUUGUAAACCGCUUUCGCCUGUGACGAAGCGUGAGUGGCGGUAAUGGGUAAAGAAGCACCGGCUAACUACGUGC